rnacentral:lncRNA from 1 species
GGCGUUAGGGUUAAAAUCACUGUCCAAAACCUUUGUAGGAACUCUUUUCCAACCUUUUGGAGUUAGUUAGACCAAAAAAAAAAGAAAAAUGAAAAAAAAAUAUUUGGGGUGUUCAGGCUUCCUAAAAGUAAUACCCGGGUAUUAGGUUAUGGGGCUAUGGUAAGGUUAACGUUUUGGCGUUAGGUUUAAAAUCACUGUCCAAAACCUUUGUAGGAACUCUUUUCCAACCUUUUGGAUUUAGUUAGACCAAAAAAAAAAAGAAAAAUGAAAAAAAAAUAUAAUUGGGGUGUUCAGGCUUCCUAAAAGUAAUACCCGGGUAUUAGGUUAUGGGGCUAUGGUAAGGUUUAAGGUUUUUGGCGUUAGGGUUAAAAUCACUGUCCAAAACCUUUGUAGGAACUCUUUUCCAACCUUUUGGAGUUGGUUACACCAAAAAAAAUGUAAAAUGAAAAAAAAAAAUAUUUGGGGUGUUCGGGCUUCCUGAAUGUAAUACCCGGGUAUUAGAUUUUGAGGCUAGGGUAAGGUUUAAGGUUUUUGGCGUUAGGGUUAAAAUCACUGUCCAAAACCUUUGUAGGAACUCUUUUCCAACCUUUUGGAGUUGGUUACACCAACAAAAAUGUAAAAUGAAGAAAAAAAUAUUUGGGGUGUUCAGGCUUCCUGAAGGUAAUACCCGGGUAUUAGGUUUUGGGGCUAGGGUAAGGUUUAAGGUUUUUGGCGUUAGGGUUAAAAUCACUGUCCAAAACCUUUGUAGGAACUCUUUUCCAACCUUUUGGAGUUAGUUAGACCAAAAAAUAUGAAAAAAGAAAAAAAUAUUAUUGGGGGUUUUCGGGCUCCCUGAAAGUAAUACCCAGGUAUUAGGUUUUGGGACUAGGGAAAGGUUUAAGGUUUUUGGCGUUAGGGUUAAAAUCACUGUCCAAAACCUUUGUAGGAACUCUUUUCCAACCUUUUGGAGUUAGUUAGACCAAAAAAAAAAAAAAAGAAAAAUGAAAAAAAAAAUAUUUGGGGUGUUCAGGCUUCCUAAAAGUAAUACCCGGGUAUUAGGUUAUGGGGCUAUGGUAAGGUUUAAGGUUUUUGGCGUUAGGGUUAAAAUCACUGUCCAAAACCUUUGUAGGAACUCUUUUCAACCUUUUGGAGUUAGUUAGACCAAAAAAAAAUGAAAAAUGAAAAAAAAUAUAUUUGGGGUGUUCAGGCUUCCUAAAAGUAAUACCCGGGUAUUAGGUUAUGGGGCUAUGGUAAGGUUUAAGGUUUUUGGCGUUAGGGUUAAAAUCACUGUCCAAAACCUUUGUAGGAACUCUUUUCCAACCUUUUGGAGUUAGUUAGACCAAAAAAUAUGAAAAAAGAAAAAAAUAUUUUUGGGGGUUUUCGGGCUCCCUGAAAGAAAUACCCGGGUAUUAGGUUUUGGGGCUAUGGUAAGGUUUAAGUUUUUUGGCGUUAGGGUUAAAAUCACUGUCCAAAACCUUUGUAGGAACUCUUUUCCAACCUUUUGGAGUUAGACCAAAAAAUAUGAAAAAAGAAAAAAAUAUUUGGGGUUUUCGGGCUUCCUGAAAGUAAUACCCGGGUAUUAGGUUUUGGGGCUAUGGUAAGGUUUAAGGUUUUUGGCGUUAGGGUUAAAAUCACUGUCCAAAACCUUUGUAGGAACUCUUUUCCAACCUUUUGGAGUUAGUUAGACCAAAAAAAAAUGAAAAAUGAAAAAACAAUAUUUGGGGUUUUCGGGGUUCCUGAAUGUAAUACCCGGGUAUUAGAUUUUAAGGCUAGGGUAAGGUUUAAGUUUUUUGGCAUUAGGGUUAAAAUCACUGUCCAAAACCUUUGUAGGAACUCUUUUCCAACCUUUUGGAGUUAGUUAGACCAAAAAAUAUGAAAAAAAGAAAAAAAUAUUAUUGGGGGUUUUCGGGCUCCCUGAAAGUAAUACCCGGGUAUUAGGUUU